rnacentral:lncRNA from 1 species
UGGCACCGUGUAACAACGACUUAUAGAACUAAGUAUUAAUUUUUCCGGACUGGCACAUGGUUGAUGAGCUGCAAAUAUUCUCACCCUAGAGGGCCGUCCUAUUUUAUAGGGAAGGUGGACUACCCCUAAGCUCAAUGAUUAAAAUCUAUAAUUCUAUUGUUUAGGUAAAAUGGGGUACCACUAGCGCCCUUAUAAGCCACCACGUCGGGG